rnacentral:lncRNA from 1 species
AGGCCGCAACUGAGUAGUCUAAUGUUGUUCCGGUUUUGGUUCUUGUGAACAUUGACAUCGAUUCGUUCCAAAUUUACACUCUCGGGACAUAAUAGAACAAUAUAAUUAUGUUUUACGCUUUGUUCGAUAGAAUGAGAAAAAGUACUCGUCGCAAAGUUAUACUAUUAGGGCGCAACUGAGUAGUCUAAUAUUGUUCCGGUUUUUGUUCUUGUGAACGUUGACAUCGAUUCGUUCCAAAUUUACACUCUCUGGGCAUAAUAGAACAAUAUAAUUAGGUUUUACUCUUUGUUCGAAAAAAUAAGAAAAAGUACUCAUUGCAAAGUUAUACUGUUAUGGCGCAACUGAGUAACCUAAUGUUGUUCCGGUUUUGGUUCUUGUGAACGUUGACAUAGAUUCAUUCCAAAUUUACACUCUCGGGGCAUAAUAGAACAAUAUAAUUAGGUUUUACUCUUUACUCGAUAGAAGGAGAAAAAGUACUCGUCGCAAAGUUAUACUGUUAGGGCGCAACUUAGUAUUCUAAUAUUGUUCUGGUUUUUAUUCUUGUGAACGUUGAUAUCGAUUCGUUCCAAAUUUACACUCUCGGGGCAUAAUCGAACAAUAUAAUUAGGUUUUUCUCUCUAUUCGAUUGAAUGAGAAAAAAUCCUCGUUGCAAAGUUAUACUGUUAGGGCGUAACUAAGUAUUCUAAUGUUGUUCGAUUUUGGUUCUUGUGAACGUUGACACAGAUUCAUUCCAAAUUUACACUCUCGCGGCAUAAUAGAACAAUAUAACUAGGUUUUACUCUUUGCUCGAUAGAAUGAGAAAAAGUACUCGUCGCAAGUUAUACUGUUAGGGCACAACAGAGUAGUCUAAUGUUGUUCUGGUUUUCGUUCUUGUGAACGUUGACAUCGAUUCGUUUCAAAUUUACACUCCUGGGGCUUAAUAGAACGAUAUAAUUAGGUUUUACUCUUUGUUCGAUAGAAUGAGAAAAAGUACUCGUCGCAAGUUAUACUGUUAGGGCACAACAGAGUAGUCUAAUGUUGUUCUGGUUUUCGUUCUUGUGAACGUUGACAUCGAUUCGUUUCAAAUUUACACUCCUGGGGCUUAAUAGAACGAUAUAAUUAGGUUUUACUCUUUGUUCGAUAGAAUGAGAAAAAGUACUCGUCGCAAGUUAUACUGUUAGGGCACAACAGAGUAGUCUAAUGUUGUUCUGGUUUUCGUUCUUGUGAACGUUGACAUCGAUUCGUUUCAAAUUUACACUCCUGGGGCUUAAUAGAACGAUAUAAUUAGGUUUUACUCUUUGUUCGAUAGAAUGAGAAAAAGUACUCGUCGCAAGUUAUACUGUUAGGGCACAACAGAGUAGUCUAAUGUUGUUCUGGUUUUCGUUCUUGUGAACGUUGACAUCGAUUCGUUUCAAAUUUACACUCCUGGGGCUUAAUAGAACGAUAUAAUUAG